AGAGUGAACAAAAUAAGAAAAUAAGGAAGUUAUAAUUAGCCAAAGAAUCAUCCUCAAACAAUGUAAUUCUUAGAGUUGAUAGCUUCAAACUCAUCAUUAGUUCUCCAAUUUAAACUCUAAACAGCCUUCAAUAUCCCUUGUGCCGACCCAAUCCUUGUGUACUUCGAGCUUAAUCUUCAAACAUAGACCAAAUUUAACAAGCAUCAAUUUCCAAUCCAAUCAUAAUAUCACAUAUAUGCCCAAAAUUACUAAACCCAACUCAAGCCUGUCAACAAGAAGUUAGUAUCUUAAGUAAGCUUAAAGCAUAGCCAGGAGAGCUAUGGAGUUGGAUUUAAUCAAAAAAGCCUUUACCAUAGACAUAAAAAGAGAUAACCAAAGGAAGAGUAUGGUGAAUAGUAAAAGUUGUAGAGAAUAUGUAUCAAGAAAAGAGAAUUAGGACAUAAAUGGUUCCAUUAUUUGAAAACUAGGUUUACAAUCAUACACCUCGAAAUAUUUUAAACUGAGCUAACAUACAAGUCUUAAAACAUUUUCAAAUGAGAAACUCGACUCAAAAUCAUAUCAACAUAUUGUCAGAAUAGCAUGAAGCAUCCACUCAUCUGCGAUACACAAUAAUUAUUAUUUAAAACCUCAUUGAGCAAUCACAUACAUUUCACGAAAAGCAGUCAUAUCAUUAUGCACUUGCAAGCACCACGGCUGAAUCCUUACAGUUUAUUGUGACGUCUCGAGUGCAAUCUAACUCUUGUUCGAAUGUCAAACAUAUAGAGAACUUUGGUCCAUUGUGGAUCUUGUUCGAACCAUUCAAAUACUUUGAUAAUUCUUAGCAAAAUCUAUUUUAGUAUACUUUUUCAUUUUCUCUUUGUUUUAAACUCGCAUCAUUGUGUUCGAGACUGACAACCAAUAUGCUACUUGAUGUAUUUGACAUGUGAAUUGAUGAUGCAUGAGUGAACACGUGCGACUCGGUACACAUGCAGACUACUGAAAGACCAUUAGACACAAGGCUCAAGUUCAAAACUUAGAGAAAAUGACAACGCCAUUUUAAAAAUAGUUUCAAUCAUCUUUUCAAUGCUUACAAUAUGUUCAAAGCAAUAUAGAUACAUACUUUAUUUAUAGGUUCAUUUCAAACUCUAAUGGACCAUAAUUCUCUAAAUAUCGGACUUAUCAAGGAAUCUGAUCCUCUUGGACGCCGAGACGUCCCCACUUUCCUAUCCAAUUAGCCUCUUUGGAUAGUGGCAACAUUUUCUUUGAUGAUUAAUUAGUAUCAGAAUGAUACAAGCACAAAAAAUCACAUCAAAUUCAAUAAACAGGAAGCAACAAUUGUUUAGAAUAACAAAGCACUUCUAGACUAAAAGCAAGCAAUUCAUUAUUAUCACAAGCAGUUCAUAUAACAUUUGAACAACUUAUGAGGAAAAUGAAAUCAUAGCACUUAUCAUUUUAAAUAUAUAAUCUCUCCCUCUAUAUAUACAAAGACACACAUUUAUUCAAACACAAUGGCCAAUAAAAAUCUGUUAAAGAAUAAAUAAACAAUAAAAAUGCAACCUAAAACCUCAUUUUCCUUUUCCAAUAUUUAAUUUAAAUAAGAGCAGCGCUUCCUUUAGAAAAGAAGUUGAAAUCUAAAAUAUAUAAAAUUAAAAUUAAAAUUAAAAUAAAGUCAAACAAUUGAAUUGACAGAAUUUUUGAUAUCACCUUAGGCACUGAAUAAACAAUUAGCAUAAAGAUACACAAGUUUCAAGCAUUGACAGGAGGAAAAAUGCAUAUCUUUAUCUUCAACUGGGGNNNAAAUUAAAAAAAUACAAUUACUUUUUCUAGCCUUAUCGGACCUCCACCAUCAUCGGCCAUUGUUACCACUACCACUUACCACCACCAUUGAGGAUCUAACAAAGAACCUUAGUUUAAGGCCAUGCAUAUUCCUUGAUCUCAAUAGAGAGCCCCAUGAAACACUAAUCUAACUAAUGAGAACAGUUGAUCACCUAUAUAUAUGAUAUAAAUUAGUUUCAGGCCAUUUAUGUAAUAGGACUAGUACUCAUAUUCAAUAUUCUUAUUUUCUGAACUUGGAUUUGCAAUUCUUUAUUGCUUCUUUUUGUUACUUUCUACUAUAAUUGCAGCAAAAGAUUAUCAAGAGCUCAUCCUCCAAAACCUACUAGAUUGAAUUUCUACGAUGAAACACAAAGUAGAACAAGAAAAUUUCUUUGUUGUUUUGGGUCAUAUGUGACCCUUUAUAACCACUUAUUACAAGCUCUCUUAGCAUUGAUGUAUAAAGAAGUAUAAUUGCUUUUGAAGAGGUGGUCUUUCCUUUCUUGCUUCUCUUUUGCACCAGAGAAAAACCAAGAUUUUGGUUUCUCUAAAGCUCUUUUUUAUGUACAAGUCAAACAUGAAUCUUUGUAAAGAAUUGUUUUCAGGAAUUAAGUAUAUAUAUAUAUAUAUAUAUAUACAUACACGUGUGUUUGUGUGUGUGUGUAUAGGCACAUUGCAUUUGGCUGCAACUUUUUUUAGUGUACAUAACUGAUGGGUGCUACUCGUGUUAGCUACAAUCUAAGGCAGUGUACCUAUCGAUGCAGUCUAGCACUAAUGGCGAGUAUCAAGGUCGUAUUCCUCGGGAAAGCGAAAGGCCAGAGUUACUCCUUUGUUCUUUGUUAUAUUAACCUAAAAUGGAUGAUGAAUAAAUUCUAAACUAACUAUUAACUACAAGCUAAGUCCUAAGGGAGAUGCAAGAGUGAUUGAUAAACGAAAUAAUCAAGACAAGAAGAAAAACCCAAAGGGAAUCUAAACUAGUUGGCAACCGAACAAAAGAUAAAGGAUCGGUGAGUCUAAUUAUGCUACCCGUGGACGAAUUCUUAACCGAAUUCGGUUCUCUCUCGAGAUAACCGAAUUCCUAAACCUAAUAACCUAAAGUUGGAAUCUCUUCCUAACGAUUGAUUCUUAAAUUAGCAUUAAGCUUUAAUCCGCCUCUAUUAAGCUUUGUUAAUUCUUAAUCCGGCUAGUUAAUUAUCCUUAUCUCUAAGCGAUUAUUAACCAAUUCUUGCUAUUCAAAAUUCCAAUUGCCAAACGGAUUUCUCAAUCUCAUAAAGCAAUCUAAACAUCACAAUUCACAACGUCUCAUGAAUAAUGCAUUAUUUUAUUAAUACUGAAAACAAGAAGAAUACAAAACCAACUCGAACAAUCCAACAAUAUAAUAUCAAGCCAACAUAGUAAAGAAAUCCCAAUGGAUUAAAUCAAUCUAUGCUAAUCAACUCGCAUCAUUGUGUUCGAGACUGACAACCAAUAUGCUACUUGAUGUAUUUGACAUGUGAAUUGAUGAUGCAUGAGUGAACACGUGCGACUCGGUACACAUGCAGACUACUGAAAGACCAUUAGACACAAGGCUCAAGUUCAAAACUUAGAGAAAAUGACAACGCCAUUUUAAAAAUAGUUUCAAUCAUCUUUUCAAUGCUUACAAUAUGUUCAAAGCAAUAUAGAUACAUACUUUAUUUAUAGGUUCAUUUCAAACUCUAAUGGACCAUAAUUCUCUAAAUAUCGGACUUAUCAAGGAAUCUGAUCCUCUUGGACGCCGAGACGUCCCCACUUUCCUAUCCAAUUAGCCUCUUUGGAUAGUGGCA
rnacentral:lncRNA from 1 species